AUCUUGAGCGUUGCUAGUCUGACUAGCUCGUUCGUAAUACAUUAGCAUCUCUAAUUCGAAUUCGGAUUGACUCAGUGUAAUAGACUAUUCGCUGAGGACACUUUUAUUAGUGGCCGUACUAGAACCAGUAGAAGCUUCCAACUAUUGUAGUCAACUUUAAUUUAGACCUCAGAUCAGGCAGGAUUACCCGCUGAACUUAA
rnacentral:misc_RNA from 1 species